rnacentral:rRNA from 1 species
UGCGCAGGCGGGCUAUUAAGUCGGUGGUGAAAUCUCUCGGCUCAACCGAGAAACUGCCAUUGAAACUGAUAGUCUUGAGUAUGGUUGUGGUAGGCGGAAUAUAGCAUGUAGCGGUGAAAUGCUUAGAUAUGCUAUAGAACACCGAUCGCGAAGGCAGCUUACCAAACCAUUACUGACGCUCAUGCACGAAAGCGUGGGGAGCAAACAGGAUUAGAUACCCUGGUAGUCC